ACCCAAAUAAAAAAGGCUAGAUAAUUAUUAUUUUAUUGAAAUUAAAUCAUCAUGAAAGAUUGCUUGAAUCAAAUCUGAUGAAAGAUGAGAAAGGUUUUAUUUUAAUUGGGCUCCGCCUCGCUUCCUCUCUCACCACACACGGGUAGGAGAAACGGGUAAUUCGAAGACUGGGUGUGAAUAAAGUUUCGCUAGCCAUCACGCCGCCGCCAUUAUUAGUUCUCGAGCCCUCCCGACGCAAUGACUAAUUUGCCCUGCGAAGCCUAAUGGCAUUCUGGUAAUCCUAUCACCUAUAAAUUGAGGCAGUCGCGGUUAAAGGCGCGUUCCGGCAAGCCAAGCCGCUGUUGAUUUGCCGGAGCCUUUUCCGUUGCGCAAGAAAUAAGCAAUGGGAAAUGAGAAGGUUCACAUUAACAUUGUGGUCAUUGGCCAUGUCGAUUCUGGAAAAUCUACAACAACUGGACAUCUCAUCUACAAACUUGGUGGUAUUGACAAGUGUGUCAUCGAGAUAUUUGAGAAGGAAGCUGCUGAAAUGAACAAGAGAUCUUUCAAGUAUGCCUGGGUGCUCGACAAGCUUAAAGCUGAGCGAGAGCGUGGCAUCACCAUUGAUAUUGCUUUGUGGAAAUUUGAGACCACAAAGUACUAUUGCACAGUCAUUGAUGCUCCUGGCCAUCGUGAUUUCAUUAAGAACAUGAUUACAGGAACUUCUCAGGCUGAUUGUGCUGUUCUCAUCAUCGACUCCACAACUGGUGGAUUUGAAGCAGGUAUAUCAAAGGAUGGUCAGACCCGUGAGCAUGCUCUUCUUGCUUUCACUCUUGGUGUCAAACAGAUGAUAUGCUGCUGCAACAAAAUGGAUGCCACAAUUCCCAAAUACUCAAAGGCACGAUGAUGAAAUUGUCAAGGAGGUCUCAUCCUACUUGAAGAAAGUUGGCUACAACCCUGAGAAGAUUCCUUUUGUCCCCAUAUCUGGUUUUGAAGGUGAUAAUAUGAUUGAGAGGUUCACCAACCUUGACUGGCACAAGGGCCCAACUCUCCUUGAUGCCCUCGACAUGAUUUAUGAGCCCAAGCGUCCAACGGACAAGCCCCUUCGUCUUCCCCUGCAGGAUGUCUACAAGAUUGGAGGCAUCGGAACUGUGCCUGUUGGUCGUGUUGAACUGGAAUCCUGAAGCCAGGUAUGGUCGUCACCUUUGGUCCCAUGGGACUCACAACUGAAGUCAAGUCUGUGGAGAUGCACCAUGAGGCACUCCAAGAAGCGUUACCUGGCGACAACGUUGGCUUCAAUGUCAAGAAUGUUGAUGUGAAGGAUUUGAAACGUGGUUAUGUUGCCUCAAACUCAAAGGCAGACCCAACAAAGGAGGCUGCCAGCUUCACCUCACAAGUUAUCAUCAUGAACCAUCCAGGUCAAAUUGGGAUUGGUUAUGCUCCUGUAUUGGAUUGCCACGCCUCUCACAUUGCAGUCAAAUUUGCUGAGUUGCUAACCAAGAUCGACAGGCGAUCUGGCAAGGCGCUGGAAAAGGAGCCCAAGUUUCUUAAGAAUGGUGAUGCAGGUUUUGUAAAGAUGAUUCCCUCUAAGCCGAUGGUGGUGGAGACCUUCUCCGAGUACCCUCCUCUGGGUAGGUUCGCUGUAAGAGACAUGAGACAGACUGUUGCUGUAGGUGUCAUCAAGAGUGUGGAGAAGAAGGAUCCAACCGGAGCCAAGGUUACAAAAGCAGCACAGAAAAAGAAAUGAAAGUGGAAUUGUGGAUCGCUGCAGUCUGGAGUCAUUAUCGGUUGUGGUGUUGUGUGUUCAUGCCCUUCUCUCGAGGACUCUGCAGGUGUGGUAUCUGGACCCAGAACUGGGUUCUCGACAGGCGGCGGCGGGGUUGAAGAUCCGGCGUCUAUUUUGUUGUUUAAUGUCAACUAACGACUUUUCGGAAAUAUACUAAAUGUAAGGACUGUAUUGCAGUGACUCGUGUUAUUGUCUGGUACUCUUGUUUCCCAAAUUUACUUGCUGACUAUGCUGCUAUAACAUAUGGAUUUCCAGUAUUUA